UUCCCUCUUUUGUUCCCCCUUCCCUGCCCAGUUCUAUGUUCUCCUCCCGUUAUCGUAACUCUUUUUAUCGCGAAAACCUCGUGCGCAAGCGGCUUCUUCUCCCGCACUUUNGUGUACCCCCCACAACCGGUGAGAACAACAGAUUAACUUCUUGGGUUUCCCUCUUACAGAUGGCUGCUACCCCUUGGGAACCUUUUUUUCAGGGGGGAGCCAACCCUUUAAGCAUCCCCCUGGGGAGUUCGUUGCAAGAUUAAACUUAAAGAAUUUUANGGGGGCCCACAAAGGGGGGACCAUGUGUUUAAUUGGAAGCAACGCGCAGAACCUUACCAGCUUUUACAUUUUCCUGGACGGAUCGCAGAGAUGUGUUCUUCCCUUCGGGGCCGGGAACACAGGUGCUGCAUGGCUGUCGUCAGCUCGUGUCGUGAGAUGUUGGGUUAAGUCCCGCAAGGAGCGCAACCCUCGCCCUUAGUUGCCAUCAUUCAGUUGGGCACUCCAGGGGGACUGCCGGUGAUAAGCCGGAGGAAGGUGGGGAUGACGUCAAGUCCUCAUGGCCCUUACAGGCUGGGCUACACACGUGCUACAAUGGCGGUGACAGCGGGAGGCGAAGGGGCGACCCUGAGCAAAUCUCGAAAAGCCGUCUCAGUUCGGAUUGCGCUCUGCAACUCGAGCGCAUGAAGUUGGAAUCGCUAGUAAUCGCGGAUCAGCACGCCGCGGUGAAUACGUUCCCGGGCCUUGUACACACCGCCCGUCACACCAUGGGAGUUGGCUUUACCCGAAGACGGCGCGCUAACCGCAAGGAGGCAGCCGGCCACGGUAGGGUCAGCGACUGGGGUGAAGUCGUAACAAGGUAA
rnacentral:rRNA from 2 species